CCGAGGUGUAUUCAUGAAAUUCAUAUUUGGUAUGGGAGGGAGGAGAGAGAAGAGAUGAAGAGAGAAGAUAAGAAAGGAAGAGCGGACACGUGUACAGAACGAAUUGUCAAUUAAUUUAUUUGUAUAGAUUGGAGGGAGGAGAUAGAAGAGAUGAAGAUUUGGUACCUUUUCAAGAUGGAUUUGGAAAGAUUUGGUAUCCUUCUGAGGUGUAAUCAUGAAAUUCAUAUUUGGUAUAGGAGGGAGGAGACAGAAGAGAUGAAGAGAGAAGAGGAUAAAAGAAUAACAGACAUGUGUAUAGAAGGAACUGUCCAUUAAUUUAUUUGUAUAAAUCUUUUCGAGAUGGAUUUGGAAAUAUUUAAUACCUUUCCGAAGUGUAAUCAUUGUAUAGAUUUGGUACCUUUCCAAAAUGGAUUUGGAAAGAUUUGGUAUCUUUCCGAGGUGUAAUCAUGAAAUUCAUAUUUAGUAUGGGAGGGAGGAGAGAGGAUAGAUGAAGAAAGAAGAAGAGAAAGGAAGAGCGGAUAUUACAGAAGGAACUGUCAAUUAAUUUAUUUUUAUAAAUCAUUUCGAGGUGGAUUUGAAAAGAUUUGAUACCUUUCCGAAGUGUAAUCAUUGUAUAGAUUUGGUACCUUUUCGAGAUAAAUUUGGAAAGAUUUGGCACCUUUCUAAGGUGUAAUCAUGAAAUUCAUAUUUGGUAUGGGAAGGAGGAGAGAAAAGAGAUGAAGAGAGAAGAGGAGAAAGGAAGAGUGGACACGUGUACAAAAGGAACUGUCAAUUAAUUUAUUUGUAUAGAUUUGGUACCUUUCCGAGAUGGAUUUGAAAAGAUUUGGUAUCUUUCCGAAGUGUAAUCAUGAAAUUCAUAUUUGGUAUAAGAGGGAGAAGAGAGAAGAGGAGAAAGGAAUAGCGGACACGUGGACAGAAGGAAUUGUCCAUUAAUUUAUUUGUAUAAAUCUUUCCGAGAUGGGUUUGGAAAGAUUUGAUAUCUAUCCGAAGUGUAAUCAUUGUAUAGAUUUGGUAACUUUUCGAAAUGGAUUUGGGAAGAUUUGGUAUCUUUCUGAGGUGUAAUCAUGAAAUUCAUAUUUGGUAUGGGAGGGAGGAGAGAGGAUAGAUGAAGAAAGAAUAGGAGAGAAGAAGAGCGAAAAUUACAGAAGGAAAGAACUGUCAAUUAAUUUAUUUUUAUAGAUCCUUUUGAGGUGGAUUUGAAAAGAUUUGAUCCCUUUCCAAAGUGUAAUCAUUGUAUAGAUUUGGUACCUUUUCGAGAUGAAUUUGCAAAGAUUUGGUACCUUUCUUAGGUGUAAACAUGAAAUUCAUAUUUGGUAUGGGAGGGAGGAGAGAGAAGAGAUGAAGAGAGAAGAGGAGAUACAGAAGGAAGGAACUGUCAAUUAAUUUAUUUUUAUAGAUCCUUUCGAGGUGGAUUUGAAAAGAUUUGAUACCUUUCCAAAGUAUAAUCAUUGUAUAGAUUUGGUACCUUUUCGAGAUGAAUUUGCAAAGAUUUGGUACCUUUUUUAGGUGUAAACAUGAAAUUCAUAUUUGGUAUGGGAGGGAGGAGAGAGAAGAGAUGAAGAGAGAAGAGGAGAAAGGAAGAGUGGACACGUGUAAAGAAGGAACUGUCAAUUAAUUUAUUUGUAUAGAAGAUUUGGUAUCUUUUCGAGAUGAAUUUGGAAAGAUUUGGUAUCUUUCCGAGGUAUAUUCAUGAAAUUCAUAUUUGGUAUAGGUGGGAGGAGAGAGAAGAGAUGAAGAGAGAAGAGGAGAUACAGAAGGAAGGAACUAUCAAUUAAUUUAUUUUUAUAGAUCCUUUCGAAGUGGAUUUGAAAAGAUUUGAUACCUUUCCAAAGUGUAAUCAUUGUAUAGAUUUGGUACCUUUUCGAGAUGAAUUUGCAAAAAUUUGGUACCUUUCUUAGGUGUAAUCAUGAAAUUCGUAUUUGGUAUGGGAGGGAGGAGAGAGAAGAGAUGAAGAGAGAAGAGGAGAAAGGAAGAGUGGACACGUGUACAGAAGGAACUGUCAAUUAAUUUAUUUAUAUAGAAGAUUUGGUACCUUGUCGAGAUCGAUUUGAAAAGAAUUGGUAUCUUUCCGAGGUAUAUUCAUGAAAUUCAUAUUUGGUAUGGGAGAGAGGACGAGAUGGGUUUGGAAAGAUUUGUUAUCUUUCCGAGGUAUAUUCAUGAAAUUCAUAUUUGGUAUGGGAGGGAGGAGAGAGAAGAGAUGAAGAGAGAAGAGGAGAAAGGAAGAGCGUACACGUGUACAGAAUGAGCUGUCAAUUAAUUUAUUUGUAUAGAUAGGAGAGGGGAGAAAGAAGAGGGAAGAGAUGAAGAUUUGGUAUCUUUCCGAGAUGGAUUUGGAAAGAUUUGGUAUUUUUCCAAGGUGUAAUCAUAAAAUUCAUAUUUGGUAUGGAAGGGAAGAGAGAGAAGAGAUGAAGAGAGAAGAGAAAGAAAGAGCAGACACGUAUACAAAACGAACUGUCAAUUAAUUUAUUUAUUAUUUAUAUAAAUUUCUAUAGAUUAAUAGAUAAUAAUAAUAAUAAUAAUAAUAAUAAUAAUAAUCUAUUAACUUUAAUUAACUUUAAUUAUUAAUUAUUAAUUAUUAAUUUUUAUUUUAUUUAUUUAUUUAUAUUUUUUUAUCUUCAAUACUACAGUUGAUGUAGUAAAAUCUCAAUUUUUAAAUUUUUUUUAUUUUUCCAUAAUUAAUAUUUAUUAUUCUACC
rnacentral:lncRNA from 1 species